GUCAAUAAACCUAGUAGUAGCACAGCGUUCAAAGGCUGUAGCGAAAUGUGUGGCACCUGAAGUAGCCUUUAGGCAGACGUGCAUGAAGCGACAGGCGGCCUUGAAGCAGAUGGACUCCUGUCUCCUUUCGUUCUGUCCCGGCGGAAAUAUAGAACCCAGUGAGGCAUCGUCCCUCGUUCUCACCCGUGUAGGCUUAAAUCCUGUAGUCUCAAAUCUAUAAGUAAGUGACAAAACGUUAGGUAGAGUUCGAGGUGCCGAAGUGGAAGGAGGUGUGGCAGCCUUUGACCGGCACGGUACAAGGCCACCUCAGGUGACAUACCCACCGCCACUUUGUACAUAAACGUACCAUUUGCUGCCCCUUCGACUGUUUUACGUCCUGUAUAAGAAAAGGAAGUGCCUGAUGAUGAUAUUGUGUGCCCGUAAAAGUGCUUCUCUUGUAUCCCUAAAAUUCAAAAACAUCAGACGUGACCUCCGACAUCUCAAUUCAAAAACAUGUAAAACGCUUAGCAAAACAAGGUCUAAGAGAAGCACAUAACAGAUUGAUAUAUUCCAAUAAACGAUACACGUGUAAACGAAAAAGGUAACAACUAGUACAGGAAGAGAGACACGUGAAUGUAGGAAGACAAUUGUCAAAUCACCAGAUUAUCAAUAAGUCUUCCCUACGACGUACAAGGAUCUACGUAUCGAAAAGAAUAUAUCUAAAAGUAAUGCGACUCUAAAAAAAAUCCCUGUUGAUACCCUAAAUUCUAUCAUAUAAAAACAUGUUAAGAGUUUGACUUUAAGAUAGUUUGGUAUGGAAGUUUCCGGUUGUAUUACCGUGAAUUUUAUUUACGAUUAGACGUGAGUGCGACGUUAGACCACGGGUAAGAAGACCACUAAACCAGUUUCGAUGUUGGUUCGUUUCUAUAAAAUGUACGAUAUACUUGAUUCUAUACCUAAAACACAAGGGUCCAGAUAUUAUAGGCACGAGUCGGCCAAGGGACGUUCGCGAAAGCCGGUACUGGAGUUCAAGACGUCGAUCCGGCACUUCACAACCAGGAAGAGUGGCAGGUGGCUACUACCACGGGCUCUCUUCAACUCCUUACUCUUUUCCUACAACGACAGUACCAGCAGCUUUGCUGAACGGCACCUGCGUCAGUGCGUGACCUACGGUAGCUGCCGAUCGGCACCUGCUCGUGGAGCGGCGGAGGCGUUUUAUACCUAUGUGCCCUAAGACCAUGAGUGUAACACCUCACACACGAUAAAACCACAACACUGAACAUGUUAGACACCUUCUUUGGGGGCCAAACUAAAUGUCCACUACGACUAAGCAGACCCCAGAUGAAGAUUGUCUAGUUAAACCAAACAACCAACGACUCACCGAAGUACACUACGAUAUCACUCGUAGUGUACUUCGGUGGGUCGUCGGUUGUUUCGGGGUCUCGAUGUGUAUACAUGAUAUUGUACCGGUAGAAAGCUAAAACUACAAGUUAUAACUGAGGAACUAGGGCAAAGAACCCCAAGUACUAACUGUUAAACAGAACCCGAUACCUUGAUUUUACAGAUAACUUACAAGUAUCUACAGAAUUUUCCUCUUGUUA
rnacentral:rRNA from 1 species